CACUCGAUCUCCCUUCUCUCUCCUUCGUCUCCUCCGUGCUCCGACAAUGCCGUUCUUCCCUCUCGGGCUUCUCCUCUCUCCGCUGGUUACGAUUUCUCUAGGUACCUCUCCCUCUCCACCAGUUACUGAUUUGUUUCUCUGCAGCUCCCUCUCAAGUUCUCUAGCAUUCGAUUGACGUUGGUGAGGGAGUGAUUGACGCCGAUCGAGUCUUGUGUUCAACCAGUCGACGAUCUCAGAUCUUGGAUCUUGGAUCUUCCUUCCUCACAUAUGCCAUCGACACUGCUUGCAAAGCCGGCAAGGUUGUUUUCGUAACCUUACCCCCUCUCUCUCUCUCUCUCUCUCUCUCUCUCUCUCUCUCCGAUCUCAGAUCUAGUUCCAAUGUCUAGUGUUCUGAAUUGGUUAUGUUGAUUAAAGACCACUUCUUAUCUGAACUGGUUUUGUUAUGUUGAUUCAAGUAUUUAGUGUUCUGACUUGUUUAAAUUUGCAUCUGUAUCCGUUUCUGAUUUAGACAAGUUUGGGUUUGUUAAAUUAUCUUAUAAAACAGAGGCUUAAUUUUUGUUAAAUUAUCUGAUUUAGACAAGAUUUAUACAUGUAAGACAUAGCUGUUGUCCCUCUUCUAGUCAUUCAUCUAUAAUUAAUAUUGACACUGAUUCUGGGAGAUGUAGCUGGAGGAGGGUGCCUAAAUUGCCAUCUCCGGUGAACAAGUUUCAUUUCCCUGCAUAGUAUUCUUGGUGAUGAAGAUGAACAUCUUCAAAUUCAAUAGCUGACACUGUGAUUGGCACUAUCAUAAUUUGGAGCAAUUUCUUGUUGAAUAUUUAGUCUUUGUUGUUGUGUUCUAUUUUAAUAGUAAGGAAUUGGCAUAGUUCACUUGUUAAGGAGACAAGAAAUGAAAACUUCUCAAAUUUUUCAAGUUUUCCUUGGUUGUCUGCUUAAGAAGUGUUCUUUGCAAGAUCUCACAUAAGUCUAGGAUGUGGAUUUGUUCUGUAAAUAAUCUAUGUUUUCUUGAUCACCAUUUUUUUAGUGUUGUUUCUGUUUUACAAUUAUUUGUGAUCAUGAAUGACGGUCACAACUAUUUAGGACAUCUUCUGUUUUACAUUGCCUGAAAUUUGGUUUCUUUGAGAAUUCAACUUGCUCAAGAUUCUUGGAAAAGUUGUAGUAACUAAAGUGGAAUGCUUAUCCACAUAACAAGACUAAAAUGACACUCUUAUAGGUUUUUAUCUUUUUUUUUUUGGAAAUUACUCUUUUUGACCAUUACUACUGCUGCUGAUGUAUGCAUUAAGAAUAAAAAAUUGUCAUGUUUCUAGAAAGCCUUUUUGUUCGACUCAGUUGCUAUUUUGAUGAAUUCAAGUUUCAUUCAACUCCUGAUAAUUAAUUUUUUAAUAAGGGCCAGUCUUUGAUAGUUCAUGGGUAUGGCAUAUUUACUAUAUAUUUGGUGAGUUGUCUUUAUCUUAUGAGAGAAUCUAUUUAUUAUUGUGGGAUAAAUUUUAGAUCUUUUAUUAUUGUGGUAUAUAUAUUAUAUAUUUAUGUUGAUGAUUAUUGUCUUCACAUGUUUUAGACUUGAUUAUUAUGAAUGGUAAUUAGUGUUUUUGUACUCCAUAAAACAAUGAUAAAGCAUAAAAAAUAAUCCUAUCUUUAUUUAAACUAGAAAGCUAGAUAUAGCCCCAAAAACUAUGCAUACAUAAAAUCAUUAGGAAUUGCUGAGUGAACAAUGUGCCAAAACUAGUCAUUUCUUUAAGGCCAUUUUCAAAAAAUAUGGAAAUGACCUUUUCAGCCAAUGCGCUUCAACAACUGGAGAUUUUAAAAAAUAAUAGUGAUGGAUCUGAGAAUGGGUCCUUGCUACAAAUUUUAAAUUGCACCCUUACUAUAUUUGGUUCCAGGCUUCUUAGGCAUUGGGUAUGAGGUGCUUCUAGUUUUGAUAUACUACCAUUGAAUGUUGAAUUCUUGAUUCUUUCAACUAAAAAAAUUCCUUUAUCUAAUUGUUCUUAUUCAUGAAAUAGGUAUCUCACCCAUUAUGCGAUCAAACCAUGAUUUCUGCUUGUCUUCAUGCUGUAUCUGAAAUUGCAGAGUCCAUGAAACAGUAUCGAAAUAUUCAUUUUACAUGAUUUGCUUUCGUUCUAAUUUAAAUUUGCUUUUUGAUUUAAACUUAAAUUGAUCAUGUGGCUGUUUACUUAUGAUAUGAUUAAGGUUAGUUCAGGAAAUGGAUAUUAGUAGAAGCUUGUGAUAUGGACUAUAAAUUUAGUUAUUCUUUAUUCUUAUGCAGGUUUGCUUACAUGAUGUGUACAUGAAAACAUAUUUCUAAUCCCAUUUUUCAGUAUUAGGUUUCAGUUUUCUCGACCUGUGGAGGUGAUGGUGAGUAACCUUUGAUUAUAGAAUAAUGAGAAAGAGUUUUUGUGGGGUAAAUAUGGUGAGCAACCUUUGAUUAUAGCUAGACAUGCUAUAGUUUGUCAUACAACUGCAAGCUUCCGUUCCCUUGCUAAACAGUCAGAAUUGAUGUCUCUGAGUAAUUUUUUAGAUAAUCAUAGGUUAGCUUUAAUAUUUUUUCCUCUCAAUUAUCUUCUAAUGCCUAUAGUAUUGAUGCCAGGUUUUCUAAUAAACUUUGUUUUCUUUCACAUUUUUUAAUACAUUAGUUCUUAUCUUACAAGCUAGGAUUUUGUUUGUGAUAUUCCUUUGGCAUCUCAAAUAAUGUAAGUGACCAAACUAGUUCAGUGAUUACAGAUUUGCGAUGGUGUUGUUGUGGCAUCCCUCCUCAAUGCAACUCUUGUUAUUCUUAAGUUUCUUUACAGCAACGUUUGGAACGAACCCAGUUUGGUGACAUAUACCAAGAGGAGCAUUUUAUGAAUAUGUUGAAGGAUGAUAUCAGUAUUGUGAAGGAGCUCCCAUCUCAUAUGAAAUCCUUAAACCUUGAAGCAAUUGGCAGCCAGUCAAACACAGCAUUGAGUGUGCAAUAAGAGAAAAGGC